GAUACAGAAUUUUGUGGCGCAUGGGUGUAAUUGAACCAGAUAUUGGGCCAAUAAAAUUUCAAUGUAGUCAUGUAGUAUUUUGAGGAUCAUGUUUUAGCAAAAUUGUUAAGGACGUUUAUGGUCUCAAAAUAGUGAUCUGAAUAUCAUGGAACUCUGCCGCACAGAAGAGUUAUUGAAUCAGAUUAUUAGGCGAAACUGUGAAUACAUUUUAACUCAUAAAAUUCCUCAAUUAUACAACCGAUUGUUUGAGCUUUCAUUGAAAGAAAAUAGUUGUACCAGAUUUAAACGUUGGCGCAAUUUUUCUGAAACCUUCCACGUUUUUGUAAGAGGUCUGGUUUUAAGAAGCGACCCAAAUCUUAUCAGAAAGAUGCCGGUCAGUGAGCCUCACACAUGUUGGGACUGCUUGGCUUCAAUGAAUCAUUCAAUCAGGACUGCCCAUGGACACUACAACUCCCUUUGGAAGAUCCGCAAAACUGGUCGUUAAAACAUCCUAGACCACUGUGCUUUUUUUAACACGUUAAAAAUCAUAAUUAUAGAAUAUAUAAAAUUUGUAAUACCGUCGUGCGGGGUGACAUUGGGCCA